CUCCCCAGCACUUGGUCUCCCCGUUACUUGCAACAAAACUGCUCAGCUGUUCAGAGGAUUUCUGCUGGGCCUUGUCACUCUCCUUGACCUCAGCUCACAGUAAGCUGCCUUCUAAGGAGCUUGCUUCAAUGCAGGGGCACUGCUAGUUUUGUCAGGUCAGGUGUUAACACCUGGGAAAGGUCAGGCUACCAUGAGGCUUUGUGUUUUAGUCCGAGGGAUCUUACCACAUGGUGGAAUGCCGUGGGUGUUGGCUUAGGCGUGACCGACUCUUCCCUCUGGCCCCAGGCAGAAGGCCACAUGCUUGGAGCAGAGCAGAGGACAUUUCCCACUUCUACACUCCACAUGGUUUUGGCCUUGCCGGAAGAGGUCACAAAGUGGCUUUGGAAUUCACUCACACAACAUGAGGGUACUUUGCACAGGUAGAGAAUGGUAAGUAUAUUGCAGCUGAACUGGAACUGGAGUCAAGCCCCUAAUGUCUUGUCACAACUUUAUCUGGUCUUGCAUUUUAGAAUAUUUGUGUUCCCAUUGAGUCAAGGACAAAAACUGAAAAUUAACAACUGCUUGAGGGUCUGGCUUCAGUUUGAGAAAGUGCAGAGCUUGGUGGCUCAGUCCCUUCAAUCUCACAUUUGUUAAACUGACGAACUGGUGUCCUGUCUAGGAUUCUAUAUUUUCCUACAUAAGUUAGGUGUAUUUUCAGAGGAAUCUGGAGCCUUUGUUGAAACUAGCAGUUUUCUUUUUUGUUUGUUUGUUUUUUAGGUUGAAAUACACACUACCUGAAGCUGGAUAACUCAUGAACUCUGUUGACAAUUAUAUUCUUUGUCUUUUUAAUUAACUCAUUUGGAGUUGGUGUCCUGAGGACCUAAGCCUAAGAAUCUUCAAGAUGGAAGAGUAGAGUGAACAAUGAAUGAGCCAGAGGGCUCUUGUCCUCUGUGUGCAGCUCUGGGCAGCCAGCAGGUGGAUAUGGGACUUGGCCUGCUGGAGGGGCCCUGGCAAGAGGAGCUGGCAGGAGCAGAUGGCAAAGGAUAAAGCGCUCCCUUGUUGGUGUCCCCACAGUCCAGGCUGGUGCUGAUGCCGUCCUGCCGUCCUGCAUCAGAGCCACUCAUGCCCGUGUGCGCACUCUUUGUCGGGGUCUGACACCGUUGCAUCGUAUAUCACCUGUGUUGUCAUGGUCAGUGCUCAACAAAUGCCCCUACUGAUUCAAGUAUAUGAGCAAGUCAAAUAAAAAAAUAAUAUGGCCGGGCGCGGUGGCUCAAGCCUGUAAUUCCAGCACUUUGUUAGGCCGAGGCGG
rnacentral:lncRNA from 1 species